GAAGAGGGAAGAUGGCGGCGGCCGUGAACCAGCGUGGCCUUAACCAGCCAUAGUUAUGAUAUUAUAAGACCUGUGGGUGUCUGCCUGACCUGUAGUCUGAAGAUGCUCUUUCUGAAGUCUUAGGAGGGCCCCUCAGUGAGGAUGCCCGAAGCUGAAGGCUUUACUUCUGUUUCAAGGACUGGAUGUGUCAUCACUAUCACCAUCAUCAACACCACCACCACCACCAGCAGCAGCAGCAACAAAGAUAAACUCACUUGUUAGAGUGAAGACUAACAGGAUUACCAGAAGGAGCCACCUACUCAGUGCAGUGAACAAGACGUGUGGUCUGAAGAUACACAACACCGAGACAGGACUGUGUGGUGCUCACAUGCCACGAGCAGAGUUCAAACAGCAUCCAAGCCCUAAAGACCAGAGCCAUGGACCAAUAUGGUGGAUGGCAUGUGUGCGCUUGUUCCAGAAGUGCUACUCAUCAUGGAGGCAAAUCCUGUGAGGACGUGGAAGACUUCACCUGGUUUCUCCGCUUUCCUCCCGGUGACACGGGGGAUACUUCGGGCAGAUACUGAACUGUCUGCUGCCAUUUACAGCCACAGUUACAUGGGAUUGUUUGUUCCUUCCCUGGGCUUCUACCUCUUCCUUGACUGGAACAGAAGCUAGGUGCUUAGAUAAACCUGGUCAAAUAUUUUAAA